CUGAGGCUCAACAACCAGCUGACCACGCUGAAAAUGUGACAGAAAUAAAAUGACCUCAUCUUUCAUUUUAUGUAACAGCGCCCUCUGGUGACAGGAUGUCGGCAUAACAUUCAUUUUUAAAUUGCAGACUUGUUAUUCCAGAUGCCACACCUGCAGUUUCAUCGCUUCCUGUUUAGGAGUUGAACAUCAGUCUUUGUUUUUAUCGCUUUACUCGGUUCUGGUUCUGGUUCUGGUGUUUGUCUGGAUUCCAGGUGUUAGAAAAUGUCCGCAGUUACCUGGUUGCUCUGCGGACUCUCUCUGCUCUCUGCGAGACUUCCCGUCUUUAUCUCCGCAGAUCAGACGAUCCGAUCUGAACAUGGACAGACGGUCGCUCUGCCGUGCCGCCUGACCAGCAGAGACCCGGUUCUGGUGGUGGAGUGGAGCAGAACCGAUCUGGGCUCAGAUUACGUUCUCCUGUUUCGGGACGAGCAGAUCGACCCGUUUAACCAGCAUCCGUCCUAUCAGAACCGGGUCGGAAUGAAGGACCUGGAGAACAGAGACGUGUCUCUGGUUCUGGUGGACGGGACGACCGAUGACAACGGGACGUACGAGUGUCGGGUCGUUCAGACCGGAAAGAACCGCAGGAAGCAACUAAUUAGCUCCGUCCACCUGGUUGUAGCUCCGCCCCCUCCUUCAGCUCUCUUUGAGAAACUCACAGGAGACCAGAAAACCCGGACCGGAUCAGAGGAGGAGGGAGGAAGCCAGGAGCUGUUGACCUCUGACCCUACAGCUGGAAGUGAAGCUGAAGUGACCAAAUAUGGAGGAAGCCUUGUUGGGGAGGUGCAGCUAGCUGAAGCAUUGAAAGUUCAGUUCGUUCAACAGAACCAGGAUGGAGAGAAGAAGAACCAGAGCAGAACGGUUCCUGGACUGAUAGUUUCUCUCUUCCUCUUCUCUCUGGUUGUUUCUGCGUUUAUUUCUUUAACUCUCUGGAAGAAGAAACGACCUGAAACUCACCGUCCAGUGAUCUGACUGAAACUCACCGUCCAGUGAUCUGACUGAAACUCACCGUCCAGUGAUCUGACUGAAACUCAUCGUCCAGUGAUCUGACUGAAACUCACCGUCCAGUGAUCUGACUGAAACUCACCGUCCAGUGAUCUGACUGAAACUCAUCGUCCAGUGAUCUGACUGAAACUCACCGUCCAGUGAUCUGACUGAAACUCACCGUCCAGUGAUCUGACUGAAACUCAUCGUCCAGUGAUCUGACUGAAACUCACCGUCCAGUGAUCUGACUGAAACUCAUCGUCCAGUGAUCUGACUGAAACUCACCGUCCAGUGAUCUGACUGAAACUCACCGUCCAGUGAUCUGACUGAAACUCAUCGUCCAGUGAUCUGACUGAAACUCACCGUCCAGUGAUCUGACUGAAACUCAUCGUCCAGUGAUCUGACUGAAACUCACCGUCCAGUGAUCUGACUGAAACUCAUCGUCCAGUGAUCUGACUGAAACUCACCGUCCAGUGAUCUGACUGAAACUCAUCGUCCAGUGAUCUGACUGAAACUCACCGUCCAGUGAUCUGACUGAAACUCACCGUCCAGUGAUCUGACUGAAACUCAUCGUCCAGUGAUCUGACUGAAACUCAUCGUCCAGUGAUCUGACUGAAACUCAACCUCCAGUGGUUCCUGUUAAUCUGCAGGCCUGAUGCAGAAAUAUGUUGCAACUUCCCAGCAUCUGACUGGAUUCUGGAUUCAGCUGAAGCCGUUCUGGUGAAACUGGACCCGGAAAAAGUUCUGAUGCAGGAAAUGAACCAGGAUGAAAAUAUCCAAACACUCGUCUCACUAAUUCACCACUUAAAUCUCUUCUGAUAUUUCUGUCACAAAUGUCUGACUUUAUAAUUUUCUUUUUUCAUGCAACUUCUUAAGUUUACAAGAAAUUAUUUCAAUUUUAAUAUUGUAAAUUCUUUAGUUUGUUUUCUGGCAAAUUUAUUCAGCUUUACAUCUAAAUAUUCUUUUUACUUCUAUGAAUAUUCCAUGUUUUUUGUUUGUUAGAAGUUUUGUUUUAUUUUGUUUGGGUCAAAUUUUCUCCUGCAUGUAAAAAGUUUUCUUCUUUUAUCUGUGGUGGCCCUGAUUCUCUAGAGUUCAGUGUAUAAAGUAAAUGAUUGUAGUAAUUGUUUGGGUUCUGUCCUUUAUGCAGUUUAAUUGUCUUACAUAAACAGAGUUUUAUUUUUCACAGUAGCUGAGCCCAGACUGUUUAAUCAGAAACUUUUUAUUGAGUUUAUUUAGGAUAUAAAAUGAUCAUAAAUUAAAAAUGUAUAUAAACAGA